GACGUAGGGCGCGAGCGUUGUCCGGAUUUAUUGGGCGUAAAGAGCUCGUAGGCGGCUUGUCGCGUCGUUCGUGAAAACUCACAGCUCAACUGUGAGCUUGCAGUCGAUACGGGCAGGCUAGAGUUCGGUAGGGGAGACUGGAAUUCCUGGUGUAGCGGUGAAAUGCGCAGAUAUCAGGAGGAACACCGGUGGCGAAGGCGGGUCUCUGGGCCGAUACUGACGCUGAGGAGCGAAAGCGUGGGGAGCGAACAGG
rnacentral:rRNA from 1 species